rnacentral:lncRNA from 1 species
CACUCGCUUGAUGGCCGGGGGAUAAAUAGAAACGUCUGCCGGCAGGGAAGAUGAAAGGAAGAGCCGGAGCGAAGAGUUAGAGGAGUGGCGGGGCAGGGGGUGGGGUGGGGUGGGGUGGGAGAUGGAUCAGGUGUAAAGAAGCGACUGGGAAGGAUGAGAGAGAUUCGGUGGGAGGAUGAAUCAAAUGGGCUGUUCUCUGCCCUUGUCGUCUUCGUGGGCAAAUAUAACCAGGAUUGCUGUUCAGGAGGAGUCUCUGCACGCUUCUUUUCAUCUUAAGUGCUUUCUCAAGACCAUGGAACACGGAUUUGAUAGAUCUGAAUGUCUUCUAGCCAUUGGUGGUCGUGAUAAGAAGUGAAUGAAAUGAGAUGUAAGGCUCUGUGCUUUUGCUUUGUUCUCUGCUCAAGCUUUUAAGUUGUUUUUAGCAUUGUAAGGUUAAGGACAUGGGAUGCUUGUUCAUUAACACGAGAUACCGCAAAAAGGUUCUUUGUCGGUGGCUUCUAGAUCAGGACUGUUAAAGACGAGAAGACAGACUUCAGUCUUUUAGCAAAUGCUGAUUCCUGAAUCAGUUGCCCAGUGUGUUUUCGGCUUUAUUCUAGUGGAGGAAUCGCAGUGGUGUUGUAUAUGAAAGUAUCGGUGAAGGAAAGUAGCUCAAUCUCAGACACACCGGGCUGGUGACCCUACAUUAUUGUGAGAAAGGAUAUUAGCUCAUCCCUACCUGCGUUCAGUUCCUCCCUCUC